GACGAACGCUGGCGGCGUGCUUAACACAUGCAAGUCGAACGGAAAGGCCUGCUUUCCCUUGUGGAUUGCGGGUGCUCGAGUGGCGAACGGGUGAGUAACACGUGAGUGAUCUGCCCCCAACUUGGGUAUAAGCCCGGGAAACUGGGUCUAAUUCCCGAUAGGACUGCAGGGUGGUGCCUGUGGUGGAAAACGAUUUUCUAGUGGUUGGGGAUGAGCUCGCGGCCUAUCAGCUUGUUGGUGGGGUAAUGGCCUACCAGGGCGGCGACGGGUAGCCGGCCUGAGAGGGUGGACGGCCACAGUGGGACUGAGAUACGGCCCAGGCUCCUACGGGAGGCAGCAGUGGGGAAUAUUGCACAAUGGGCGGAAGCCUGAUGCAGCGACGCCGCGUGGGGGAUGACGGCCUUCGGGUUGUAAACUCCUUUCGGCCGCGAGGAAGCCACCUGGUUGGAAGGGUGGUGACGGUAGUGGUAGAAGAAGCACCGGCUAACUACGUG
rnacentral:rRNA from 1 species